rnacentral:rRNA from 1 species
AAACUUCACAAUGGAGGCAACUCCGAUGAGGGAAUUCCAAGUGCUAGCACAUUAGUGUUAGCUUUUCUUAAGCAUAGAUAACUUAAGGAAUAAGGGCUGGGUAAGACGGGUGCCAGCCGCCGCGGUAAUACCCGCAGCCCAAGUGGUGGUCGAUUUUAUUGAGUCUAAAACGUUCGUAGCCGGUUCAUUAAAUCCUUGGGUAAAUCGGAUGGCUUAACUACCCGAAUUCCGGGGAGACUGGUGAACUUGGGACCGGGAGAGGCAAGAGGUACUUUUGGGGUAGGGGUAAAUCCUGUAAUCCUAAAGGACCACCGGUGGCGAAGGCGUCUUGCUAGAACGGAUCCGACGGUGAGGGACGAAGCCCUGGGUCGCAAACGGGAUUAGAUACCCCGGUAGUCCAGGGUGUAAACGCUGCAGACUUGGUGUUGGGGACCCUUCGGGGGUGUUCAGUGCCGGAGAGAAGUUGUUAAGUCUGCUACUUGGGGAGUACGUCCGCAAGGAUGAAACUUAAGGAAUU